GCCCGCCUAGCUCAAUCGGAUAGAGCGUCAGACUCUUAGAGUACCAGGCGGUUUGGUGGUCUGAAGGCUGCGAGUUCGACCCUCGCGGUGGGCU